GCGCCUUGAAAAGCCAAUCUACAAUUCUGUUCGACGAGCAGCUGAAGUUCAUCGUCAGGUAAGAAAAUACAUAAGAAGCAUAGUGAAGCCAGGGAUGUUGAUGACUGACCUGUGUGAGACAUUAGAAAACACAGUUAGAAAGCUAAUAUCGGAGAAUGGCUUGCAAGCAGGCAUAGCAUUUCCUACAGGAUGUUCUUUGAACUGGGUUGCU
rnacentral:misc_RNA from 1 species